UGAAAAGGAAGUACAAAAGAGUUCCACUCCGGAAGCAACAAAAUUCGAAGCAGAUGAAAAAUAUCCACUUUUGAUUGCUCACUUUUUUUCGACACAUACUUUUGUGACAUAAGGAUGCCACAAAAUGAUCUAGUCAUCCUUCACUUCAAUGAUGUAUAUAACCUUGAACCCCAGAAAGAGGAGCCUGUGGGAGGGGCGGCCAGGUUUGUGGGGUGUGUCAAGUCCUACCAGUCAUUGAACCCCCUGGUACUGUUUAGUGGGGAUGUACUGAACCCUUCAUUAUUGAGCAUAUUCUUGAAGGGUGAACAGAUGAUACCAAUCCUGAAUGCAGUAGGCACACAUGCUGCAGUGUUUGGAAAUCAUGACUUUGAUUUUGGAGUUGAUCAUUUGUGUGAGAUGACAGAGAGGACAAAGUUUCCAUGGUUACUCAGUAAUGUUAUAGACAACUUGACCAAAAAGACAUUGGCAGAUGGACAGGAGUCUUGUGUUAUUGAAUGGAAUGGGUAUAAGGUUGGAGUGGUUGGCCUAGUAGAGGAGGAAUGGAUUGACACUCUGGCAACACUGGACCCAGAAGAUGUUACUUAUAUAGAUUUUGUUUCUAAAGGGAAAGAACUCUGCAAGGAUUUAAAGGAACAGGGAGUUGAUUUAAUUGUGGCAUUGACUCACAUGCGAUGGCCAAAUGACCGACACCUCGCAGAACAAGUACCAGAUAUUGACAUCAUACUGGCAGGUCAUGAUCACGACUAUGGUGUAGAAGUAGUUAAUGACACCAACAUUGUGAAAAGUGGGACUGAUUUCCGUAACUUAAGUAAAAUCACCAUUAAGAGAAAUGGACUUCGCCUUCAUGUGGACAUUGAGAAGGUGGAUGUUACUUCUGAUAUCACAGAGGACCCAGAAACAUUGGAGAUUGUCAAACAUAUGCAAGGUGAUAUUAACAGUAAAAUGGAUGAAGUAUUGGGAUAUAUGAAUGUGGAACUUGAUGGUAGAUUCUCUGCUAUAAGAUCAAGGGAAACAAAUCUAGGAAACUUUGUAACGGACAUCAUGUUGGAGAUUUCUCAGGCUGACUGUGCUCUCCUGAAUUCUGGGACAUUCCGAUCAGACAGAAUCCACCCCAAAGGUUGCUUCAAACUCCGCGAUUUAUUGACCAUACUCCCCCUGGUGGACGAACUUGUAGUCAUCCAAGUCACUGGAAAACAGUUGAUAGAAGCAUUAGAAAAUGGUGUGUCAGCCUACCCCAAAUUGGAAGGUCGGUUCCCUCAAGUGUCGGGCAUAACCUUUGCGUUUAAUCCCAGCAAGCCUAAGGGACAGAGAGUAGAUCCAGAGCUGGUCAAAGUUCAGGGGCAAUACAUCAAUCUUAAAAACAAAUACAGUUUGUGUACCAAGGAAUACAUUUCAGAAGGCAAAGAUGGAUAUGAUGUCUUCAAGAAUUGCCCAGUGGUGGUAACCUCGGAGCAGUGUUGUUCACUUAGUACAGGAGUAAGGAAUCAUUUUGAAUCCAUUCAGAUCAUGAAAGGUGUCAAAGAAUGCAAGUCUGGUCACAGACAAAGUCUAGUUGGGCUAGUCAGGAAGAGAAGUCUGGUGCAGAAGUUUAUUUCUAACCUCAGAAAACGGAGCAUGGCCCGCAAACUGGACCAAGCGGCCAGCAUGUCCAAACUGGAGCGCCGCCUGAGUCGUCAACAGAGCGUCUAUAAUGAGGAGGAGGAACAGUGUCACCUGUCCCCCGCGGUGGAGGGGCGAAUAAUCAUACUGGACGAUCAGGUGAAGGCCAAUAGUGAGGGUGAUGAAAAGAUAAUUGAUGAAAAGAUGAAUGAUGAAAAUACAGAGGGGGUAAUCUCCAGAUUGUGGAAAAAUAAGGGGUUGUUAUCUGGAUUGUCCCUAAUGUCACUGGGGCUAAUAUGGUUUUUAAAGAAGAAAAUAAACAGAUAAAAAUAAAUGUUGCUUUGAAGACUUUUGACAUACCGGUACAUUUGCUUGGUUGUAACAAAUUAUACAUAGUAUACCAAUUGUUUAUGGAUAUUUUUGCUUUCUGAGUGUAUAUGUUGCAGGUCAACUAUAUUAUUUAAAAUGUUAGAUACAAACAGAAAUGUUGGAACAAAAGAUGCGAGAUUUGACACUUUGUAAGGAAUUGGAUUUUGAGGAGGAGAAUGAUGAUAUUGUAGCUAACCACUCUUUAUUGAUGU